AUUGAACGCUGGCGGCAUGCCUUACACAUGCAAGUCGAACGGCAGCACGGGUGCUUGCACCUGGUGGCGAGUGGCGAACGGGUGAGUAAUACAUCGGAACAUGUCCUGUAGUGGGGGAUAGCCCGGCGAAAGCCGGAUUAAUACCGCAUACGAUCUACGGAUGAAAGCGGGGGACCUUCGGGCCUCGCGCUAUAGGGUUGGCCGAUGGCUGAUUAGCUAGUUGGUGGGGUAAAGGCCUACCAAGGCGACGAUCAGUAGCUGGUCUGAGAGGACGACCAGCCACACUGGGACUGAGACACGGCCCAGACUCCUACGGGAGGCAGCAGUGGGGAAUUUUGGACAAUGGGCGAAAGCCUGAUCCAGCAAUGCCGCGUGUGUGAAGAAGGCCUUCGGGUUGUAAAGCACUUUUGUCCGGAAAGAAAUCCUUGGCUCUAAUACAGUCGGGGGAUGACGGUACCGGAAGAAUAAGCACCGGCUAACUACGUA
rnacentral:rRNA from 1 species